GAGCAGUUGAAAGCAAGAGACCUUGUGUGCCUCAGUCGCGCCGAUGCGGAGCUUGCCGUGGUUGACGCAUUGCGGCGGCUCUCGUUG
rnacentral:SRP_RNA from 1 species